UUCCAGAUCUGGGACGGGAGGAGGAGGAAGCCUCGCAGCCAGGUCCUGGGAAGGUUUACUCACGAAUGUGGAUAUGAAGACAGAAGCUAAAUUCUCUGAGGCAGAAGGAGCUCCUCUGGAUGAGUGGCAGAGAGCACAAGCCCAGGAGUAUGGCCAAGAUGCCCUUGCGCAUGGUAAAGACAUUGGAGAGACUUUGUCGACCCAUCAGUUUGUUAGAGGUGUGGAAACAGCUGCUGCAUCUCCAGUCCAGUGUCCAUUUUCCAUUGAGGAGGUGAUCAUAUAUUUCUCUGAUGAAGAGUGGGCCCUGCUGGAUCCAAGCCAAAGAGCUCUCUACAGGGAAGUAAUGCUAGAAAACUAUUGGAGCCUGGCCUUUCUAGCUAAAAAUGUAGGAGAGACUACAGAGGAGACAGAAAGCCUCCCAUCCAAAGGAAUGGUGCACAGUAUCUCAAGGCAAUCUCACGAGAGAGUUUCCUUCCCAGAUGAGCUGGCUGCAGCAGAAAAUGUCAAAGAGAUGGUUGGGAAAUUCCACAUGUUUUCACUGGAAAGAGACAAGGAAGAAGAAUCUCAGUGUCACUCCAUUAAUCAAGAGAGACCAGAGAGGCAAGAGAGAAGCCAUGGAAAAAAGAUGACAGAAAAAAACAUUCCUUUCCAAAGGGGGGAUUUCCAUGAUGCAGUUGACAUGGCAGUGGAAACGUACAAAUGCUUGGACUGGGAGUUGAAUUUCUCAGGUCAAACUCAAGAUGUUAUCGAUUUGCAAAAGCCCCCUGGAAAGAAAGCCCAUAAUAGAUGGAAACGUGGAAUGAGCUUCCUUUGCGGAGAAGAGCUCAUUAGGCACCAAGGAAUCCAUAUAGGAGAGAAAAUGCAUAACUGCUCAAUGAAAAAUGAAAAGAAUUUCUCUGAUAGGAAGACACAUAAAUGUGGACAGAGAUUCCAUAGCAGUAUUGAUUUUCAACAGCAUCUACAAACCCACACAUUAGAGAAACCUUUUGAGUGCUCAGAGUGCGGAAAAAAAUUCAAUAGAAUAGGCAGUCUUCCUGUACAUCAAAGAACCCACACAGGGGAGAAACCUUUUGAGUGCUUAGAGUGUGGAAAGAGAUUCUGUCAGAGUGGCAAUCUUCAUGUACAUCAAAGAACCCACACAGGGGAGAAACCUUUUGAGUGCUUAGAGUGUGGAAAGAGAUUCAGUAGAAUAGGCAAUCUUCAUCUACAUCAAAGAACCCACACAGGAGAGAAACUUUUUGAGGGCUCAGAGUGUGGAAAUAAAUUCAGUAGCAGUGGACAUCUCCAAAAGCAUUUAAGAACGCACACAGGAGAGAAAUAUUUUGAGUGCUCAGAGUGCGAAAAGAAAUUCAGUAGUAGUGGCAGUCUUCAUGUACAUCAAAGAACCCACACAGGGGAGAAACCUUUUGAGUGCUCAGAGUGUGGAAAGAAACUCAGUAGUAGUGGCAGUCUUCAUCUACAUCAAAGAACUCACACAGGGGGGAAACCUUUUGAGUGCUCAGAGUGUGGAAAGAAAUUCAGACACAGUGGCUACCUUCAUGUGCAUAUAAGAACCCACACAGGAGAGAAACCUUUUGAGUGCUCAGAGUGUGGAAAGAGAUUCAGUAGCAGUGGAGAUCUCCAAAAGCAUUUUAGAACGCACACAGGAGAGAAACCUUUUGAGUGCUUAGAGUGUGGAAAGAGAUUCAGUCGCAGUGGCUACCUUCAUGUGCAUCAAAGAACCCACACAGGAGAGAAACCUUUUGGGUGCUCAAAGUGUGGAAAUAGAUUCAGUAGCAGUGGACAACUCCAAAAGCAUUUAAGAACACACACAGGAGAGAAACCUUUUGAGUGCUUAGAGUGUGGAAAGAGAUUCAGUCGCAGUUGCCAACUUCAUGAGCAUCAAAGAAUCCACACAGGAGAGAAACCUUUUGAGUGCUCAGAGUGUGGAAAGAAAUUCAGUCGCAGUGGCCACCUUCAUGUGCAUCAAAAAACCCACACAGGAGAGAAACUUUUUGAGUGCUUAGAGUGUGGAAAGAGAUUCAGUCACAGUGGCCACCUUCAUGUGCAUCAAAGAACCCACACAGGAGAGAAACCUUUUGAGUGCUCAGAGUGUGGAAAUAAAUUCAGUAGCAGUGGAGAUCUCCAAAAGCAUUUUAGAACGCACACAGGAGAGAAACCUUUUGAGUGCUUAGAGUGUGGAAAGAGAUUCAGUCGCAGUGACUGCCUUCAUGUGCAUCAAAGAACCCACACAGGAGAGAAACCUUUUGAGUGCUUAGAGUGUGGAAAGAAAUUCAGUGUCAGCGGAGAUCUCCAAAAGCAUUUAAGAACACACACAGGAGAGAAACCUUUUGAGUGCUUAGAGUGUGGAAAGAGAUUCAGUCGCAGUGGCCACCUUCAUGUGCAUCAAAGAACCCACACAGGAGAGAAACCUUUUGAGUGCUCAGAGUGUGGAAAGAGAUUCAGUCGCAGUGGCCACCUUCAUGUGCAUCAAAGAACCCACACAGGAGAGAAACCUUUUGAGUGCUCAGAGUGAGGAAAGAAAUUCAGUCGCAGUGGCCACCUUCAUAUGCUUCAAAGAAUGCACACAGGAGAGAAACCUUUUGAGUUCUCAGAGUGUGGAAAGAGAUUGUGACAGUGGCCAUCUUAAUGUACAUCUAAGAACCCACACAGGAGAAACCUUUUGAGUGCUCAGAGUGUGGAAAGACAUUCAGUAGUAGUGACAGUCUUCAUCUACAUCAAAGAACCCUUACAGGAGAGAAACCUUUUGUGUUCUCAGAGUUUUGAAAGAGAUGUCAUCAGAGUGGAUGUCUUCAAAAGCAUUUAAGAACCCACACAGUAGAGAAACCUUUUGAAUUCUGUUUGACAGUGGAAUACACUGCCUUGGAGAGUGGUAGAGGUUUUUAAACUUUGGAAUUUUUUAAACAGA